rnacentral:rRNA from 1 species
CCAAACGUUCGAUCGAGGGAGACAGAGGUGAGGCGGACUUAGGGUGAGGCGGUGAAUGCGUGAUAUCUAAGAACACCAGGGGCGAAAGCGCUCACUGGGUCUCUCUGACGCUGAGGCACGAAAGCUAGGGGAGCGAACGGGAUUAGAUACCCCGGUAGUCCUAGCCGUAAACGAUGAGCACUGGAUCGAAGGGUCCUCCAUAGCUUUUGUCGUAGCGAAAGUGUUAAGUGCUCCGCUGGGGAGUAUGGUCGCAAGGGCUGAAACUCAAAAGAAUUGACGGGGGCUCACACAAGCGGUGGAGGAUGUGGCUCAAUUCGAGGCUACGCGAAGAACCUUAUCCUAGUCUUGACAUGCACGGAUUAACUCCCUGAAAGGGGAGCCACGCCCGCAAGGGUGGAACGUGCACAGGUGCUGCAUGGCUGUCGUCAGCUCGUGUCGUGAGAUGUCGGGUUAAGUCCCUUAACGAGCGAAA